ACAGCAGCAGCCGCGGUAAUACGAAGGGUGCAAGCGUUAAUCGGAAUUACUGGGCGUAAAGCGUGCGUAGGCGGUUUGUUAAGUCUGUUGUGAAAUCCCCGGGCUCAACCUGGGAAUGGCAGUGGAUACUGGCUCGCUAGAGCGUGUCAGAGGAUGGUGGAAUUCCCGGUGUAGCGGUGAAGUGCGUAGAGAUCGGGAGGAACAUCAGUGGCGAAGGCGGCCAUCUGGGACAACACUGACGCUGAGGCACGAAAGCGUGGGGAGCAAACAGGAUUAGAUACCCGCGUAGUCCCUGUCUCUUAUAC
rnacentral:rRNA from 1 species